GGAGAGGUGUCCGAGUGGUUGAAGGAAACGGUCUUGAAAACCGUCGUGCCGGCAACGGUACCGUGGGUUCGAAUCCCACCCUCUCCGCCA
rnacentral:tRNA from 2 species